rnacentral:rRNA from 1 species
GCGAAGCCUGACGGAGCACGCCGCGUGAGUGAUGAAGGUCUUCGGAUCGUAAAACUCUGUUAUUAGGGAAGAACAAAUGUGUAAGUAACUAUGCACGUCUUGACGGUACCUAAUCAGAAAGCCACGGCUAACUACGUGCCAGCAGCCGCGGUAAUACGUAGGUGGCAAGCGUUAUCCGGAAUUAUUGGGCGUAAAGCGCGCGUAGGCGGUUUUUUAAGUCUGAUGUGAAAGCCCACGGCUCAACCGUGGAGGGUCAUUGGAAACUGGAAAACUUGAGUGCAGAAGAGGAAAGUGGAAUUCCAUGUGUAGCGGUGAAAUGCGCAGAGAUAUGGAGGAACACCAGUGGCGAAGGCGACUUUCUGGUCUGUAACUGACGCUGAUGUGCGAAAGCGUGGGGAUCAAACAGGAUUAGAUACC